AGUGGUGCUUCAGGUUAAGAACAGUUUCAGGUUAAGUACGGACCUCCAGAAUGAAUUAAGUACUUAACCCGAGGUACCACUGUAUUACAUUUUUAAAAAAUUUGCCUUGAGACAGUCUUUAAACCUCAUUGUUGAUCACCGGCAUUACGCUUUCCAUUUACUGGUUUUCCCAGUAGUGAUGUAUGGAAGUGAGAGCUGGACCAUAAAGAAGGCUGAUCGCCAAAUAAUUGAUGCUUUUGAAUUAUGGUGCUGGAGGAGACUCUUGAGAGGCCCAUGGACUGCAAGAAGAUCAAACUUAUCCAUUCUUAAGGAAAUCAGCUCUGAGUGCUCACUGGAAGGACAGAUCCUGAAGCUGAGGCUCCAAUACUUUGGCCACCUCAUGAGUUGAGAAGAGUCCCUGGAAAAGACCCUGAUGUUGGGAAAGAUGGAGGGCACAAGGAGAAGGGGACGACAGAGGACGAGAUGGUUGGACAGUGUUCUCGAAGCUACCAGCAUGAGUUUGACCAAACUGCGGGAGGCAGUGGAAGACAGGAGUGCCUGGCGUGCUCUGGUCCAUGGGGUCACGAAGAGUCGGACACGAUUAAACAACAACAACGAGUUGCUUUGGAAGACGAUAAUCAGGCAUCCCCACAACAUGACCAGUCCAACAAAGUUGAUGUUGAGUGGGCACUGCCACAUUGCAAAGCUCUCUUAUGGUCCUUGAUGGUGGUGGCAGAAGAAGAGAAAAAACCGUGUGGGGAAGGGAGUCAUGGGUAGAGCAGCAGUCCACGACCUCAGGUGGCUAGAACCAGAGGAAACCUGUCUUCUUGAGCAAUAGCUUACCUUUGGCCUACUCGCAAGCAAAACAAGGGAGUCAAGAAGCAGGUAGGGCAGGAAAGCUUCACCUAAAAGGCAGGCGGAAGUGGCAGGCCAAGGAAGGAGGAGUGCUACGUUGUUCUGGAGAACAGGGUGGCCAUUUAGACAUAGCCAGCGCUGGAGGAAUGACGCCACCGAAAAAGGAUUGCAUCACCAGCCAAAGAGGACAUCGAUUUGCAUAACAUUGACAGAUACUACUUCAUAUUUACGGGCACACGUUUAGAAAUAAUGACUAUAGUUUUAAAUUAAACACGUCUCACUGUAAGUGGGGAAGACUUUGAGCAGGUGGCCCCAGUCUGCUGCCUGGGUGUUGCCAGUUGAGGGUACCUUCAAGGUCCCUGCUCUCCCUCCUUGUGGUUCUUUUAUCUUUAAACCAGACAAUUCUGCAAAACGAAGAACUGCCCUUCUUCACCUUGGAGAAGAACAGGCCUCCCCCUGCAUGAGGCGAAAGUGAGCCUAAAUUUUAAACUUUGAUCGUAGGAGGUACCAUCUAAUAGAAGAGUCCCUUUUCUAAGAUGACACUUGCCAUCUGCAGUCCUUAUGUGAAAAAUAAAUACUUCGUUUUACAAAAUACACCUGAUUUAAUCAGAGGCACUGCUUUAAAUGUCCAAAAAAUUAAGUUGUUAAUUGAGUCUCUUGACUAAAUACUGCAUUUAAUCCUCACAACGAUGAUCCUCACCACAAUGAUCAACUAGAGAGUUGAUCUAGGCCAUCUAGUGAACCUCAUAAUUAGAAUAGGAAAUGAAUCCAGAACUCUCUGGUCUAACUUCUGCGCUAUUGCAUCAUAUUGGCGUAAUGCCUAUUCGGUUUAUUUCCAAGACCAUGUAGCAGCACAGGUGAAGAACGCUGCAUUGGAAAAAGAAAUCUUUGGGGUUUUUUUGCAAGAGUCUCUGGUGUGAAGCUUUUGGCUAUGUGUAUCAUAAAGCGUAUCAUUUUUCAAAUGCCUCGUCUUAAUGAUACUGGGAAAGCUGUAGGGAGUAGGCAACUUGGGGGGCAGACUUGGAGUUUCUCAAGUUUUGAAUCCUGAGGCCUUUUCGCCUGUGUUGCUAGGUUUAUAUUGAGAUGUUAAACCAGAUUUGGCUUCACUCUUUUGCUCCAAGGCUUUCCACCUCUGCAGAAUGCAAAGGUAGGAAAGGUUGCAAACCUGGAAUAAGGAACCAAAUGUGCUACUAUCUGCAUAGAGGCAGGGGACACUGACAUUCAUGUGUCCGCAUGUACAGAUGGACAGAUCGAUCUGUUUCUGGCCCAUGUCCAUGUCACAUUUGUUUAUUCUUAAGUUUCUCCAGUCCCAUUUCUGUAUUAAUUUGCUUUUAUUAUUCUCCCCCCCCCAAUCUUUUACACAUUCUUUUACAAUUUUUCUUAAAAAAUAUUGUAAAUUUGCAUUUAACCAUGAAAUUCAUCACAAAAUACCUAUUUAACCUUAAUGUACACCUUUGUAAACUUAUUUUAUCCUAAAAUACACAAAUUUGUUUGUAGUUUGUUGUGUUUCUUGAGCCAAGAACUAUACAGAGGUAUCUUGGUUCUCGAACUUAAUAUGUUCCGGGAGUGCAUUCGACUCCCAAAACGGUUCGAAAACCAAGGGGCAGCUUCUGAUUGGCUGCAGGAGCUUCCUGCACUCAGCCGGAAGCUGCGGAAGCAGCGUUGGAUGUUUGGCUUCCAAAAAACAUUCGCAAACCAGAACAUUCACUUUGCGGCGUUGGGGAGACGAUUUGUUCGGGUGUCAAGCCGUUCAAGUACCAAAGUACCACUGUAUUGCAAAAUUUAGAGAAGUGUGAAGGAUAAUUACUACGUUCUGAUCCGUGUAUAAGCGUGGGAGUUGCGAAUUGCGUCAGAUGGCUUAAAAAAUGCAGACGAAAUGAAAUUCUCCAUAUCUAGCCAAGUACGGAAUCUCAGAAUGUCCCAUACAUCACAGUACAUUAAAAAACCCUGAGUCUAUAUAGACCUGCUUGUUCCCAGCCUUCCCGGGCCAUCAUAACUCCAGCUUCACAGAACAUGGGGUGGUAUUUCAGCAGGGAGAUCGAAGGAGCAGCUUUCUUGUAUAUUUCUCACCGAACACUUAAUGUACUGUGUAAAAUGGGUUUUCCACCUUGUGAACUCUGAUGCAUAACCAAGCUUUCGUUCCUCUAUGAAUGUAUUUACCUAAUAAUCUCUGCCAAACUGCAAGUUGUUUAGGCACUGUAGUUAUUGGCAGGACUUGAAAUAGAUAGCAAAACAUCAGGCGGAUCGACAUCUGUACCUUGGAAGGAGUCUUGAUUUUUCUAAACUCCUGGCUGUGAGCUCUUGUCUCUCCUGGUUAGUUGUCUGCCUAGAGUCAAUCUCUAGCAGGUGGCAUCCUUGCCAGCCCUUGUCUCGCCCAGAAACUGGAACCUUUCAGCUGAAAACUUAGCACCAUCAACCGACAAGUAUUGCUCCCCUUUUCCUUGCCAAACUCUAAUUGCCAUUUCACACCUUAGUUCUUACAGCACAGAGAUUACCCUGUAGUGUCACAGUGACAUCUCAGCUGCCUUCUCUGCCACAUCAGUUUGCAAGUGGAUGUGCACCGCAGUGAGUCAAGGCCAUGUGUCUCUAGUGGAAAACACACUUGCCUCAAUGAAAUGGCACCUGUGACAGGACUUGCCCCAAGCGGUUUCAUAGAUGGGUGCCUCAUGCAGCUCUGGCUGGUGUUGUCUUGGAGAGCAGAAGAUGAUGCUCUGCAAAGCAUUAGGGUAUCAAUCUUUGGUGAGGAAGAUCAGUGCAGAGGGUAAGCUGGCUGGGACAGAAGCUUCACAAACACAGCGGCUGUUCCAAGGAGCCUGGCUGGUCCACAAUAGCCAAAAUGGCAGCCUCGAGAUAUUGCGGGACUCAGUUAAAACAUAAAAGGGCAUUGGUCCACCUAGUCCAGCAUCCUGUUCUCACGACCCCAACCAGGUGAAUAAUCCAUCUACCAUCAGCCUCAGCUACCAUGGAUGAUGACAGCUCUAACCCAACAGCAGAUGGAAGGGAAAACCUUGGCUACCUCUGUUUUAGACAAUGCUGGUGAAAUGUCCCUGUUUUGUGAGAUUAACAAUGAGAUCUCCUGCCUUUGUACUCCAAUGGAGAGCUAGGCAGAUAGGAAACUUGUUGCUACUUCUGGUCUCAAAGGACCCACACAGUACAUCACUAUAUAACAUUCAUGCUUAUACAGUGGUACCUUGGGUUACAGGCACUCCAGGUUACAGACUCUGCUAUCCCAGAAAUAGUACCUUGGGUUAAGAACUUUGCUUCAGUAUGAGAACAGAAAUCGUGCUCCGGCAGGGCAGUGGCAGCGGGAGGCCCCAUUAGCUAAAGUGGUACCUCACGUUAAGAACAGUUUCAGGUUAAGAACGGACCUCCAGAACAAAUUAAGUUCUUAACUCGAGGUACCACUGUAUAUUAAACUGCCUCUUGUUUUUGUCCAUGGAGUUUUCUUGGCAGGGAUACUGGAGUGGCUUGCCUCUUCCUGCUCUAGGUGGAUCACGUUUAGUCAAAACUCUCCGCUAUGACCUGUCUGUCUUGGGUGGCCCUGCACAGCAUAGCUCAUCGCUUCUCUGAGUUAUUCAAGUCCCUUCGCCAUGACAAGUCAGUAAUCCAUGGUGCUGGAGGAGACUCUUGAGAGUCUCAUGGACUGCAAGAAGAUCAAACCUAUCCAUUCUGAAGGAAAUCAGCCCUGAAUGCUCACUUGAAGGACAGAUCCUGAAGCUGAGGCUCCAAUCCUUUGGUUACCUCAGGAGAAGAGAAGUCUCCCUGGAAAAGACCCUGAUGUUGGGAAAGAAGGAGAAGGGACGACAGAGGACGAGAUGUUUGGACAGUGUUCUCGAAGCAACUAACAUGAGUUUGACCAACGGCAGUGGAAUAUAGGAGUGUGUGGCGUGCUCUGGUCCAUGGGGUCACGAAGAGUCAGACACAACUAAACGACUAAACAAAAAAACUGCCUUCUGCUGAGUCAGGCUAUUGAUGCAGCUAGGUCAGUGUUCUCUGCACUGAUGGUCAGCGGUCCUCUAGGGUUUCAGACAGGAAACGCUCCCAGCUCUAACUGGAGAUGGUGGGGAUUGAACCUGUAACCUUCAGCACACAAAGCCAACGCUCCACCACUGAGCUAUGGCAUUUCUCCAGUGUGGGGCGCAUAAUUUUCUGCCUUGAACAUCUACAGCUGCUUUUUUGAAAGUCUGAAGUCCACCCACCAUAAUGCUUUCAGAUCCAUGUCUUUUCUAUAAUUGAUUUGGUCACGUUAUUGUGUAAUUGUUCAUAUAACGGAGAUUGUGUCACGCUUUGCGCAAGUCCUUUUCUUUAAAUGGCAAGUGUAUGCUUACCGAGAGAGAGACAGAGAGAGAGAGAGAGAGAGGAACUUCCUUCUUUCAUUCCCAGGCUGUCAAACUGCUUGAAAACGUAAUAUAACUGAAAGUGAAAGUUUGAAGGAUGUGGCAUUUCCUACUCCCCCCCCCCCCAAAAAUUAGUAAUCCUGUUGAAGAAGGAAGUUGUGCUAUGCUAUUAGUCACUUGUGCCUAUUUAAAAAGUGUUUCUCCAUUUAAGGGAAUGAUCACAUUUCCUUCCGUAACUGUGGCAGUCAGCAGUGACCUAUAGGUGAGUGAAGGGUGCAAGAGUCCCUGCAGCCUUCAGCACUACACUGUUGACUGUUGGGAGAUUUCCUCAAUAAAUUUUCUACACCUCUCCCCCCCUCUCCCUGAACCUUUAAGGGCUUCAUGAUGCAUGAGAUAUUUUUAGUGUGUUUCUGUUUUUUUGUUUAAAGUUAACAUUGACAAAUGGAAGGUGCAAAUGCAUCAAACCUGUGUGUGUAAACUCAUGCUUAUACAAUUGCCAGGGGAGUCGGAAUGGACUCCAGCUGCAUAUUGAGAACACAACGUUGCAAACUUGGGUUGGCUGCUGUGUGAAAUGGCCCUAAAACAUACUGCUGCUAAAUAAUUCUUAGACGUUGCCCAGGUCCUACAGAAACUGCACUGCAGUGGAAUAUUUGGAGGGGGUUUGUGGGGGGAAGAUUUUCGGUGGAUGCUACAUGCAACAUCAGCAUUUUAGUGAAAGUAAAAGUUUGAAACUGCCGGAGUCCCAUUACUCAUCUUCUGUUGCCUCUUCAGAAUUUAGGUACCCAGAGUGAGACAGCUAACUGAAUCCUAAACAUUUUAGACCAUUGUGUUUUUGAUGCAGCCACACAGGUAUGCAUUUCAGAUUUUGUGCUGAGGCUCAAGAUUUGCUGACGUUCAGGUUCAUUCAAGGCUGAAUUUCCCCUCUUGUCUGCAAUCCUUUCCGUUACUGCUGUUUUCUUUCAAACCCCAGGACUCGUUUUUCUCCUCCCAAAGCACUUUUCAGUUGGAAUUGCUAUCUUUCACCAGGAGUUGGCACUCAGCUUCCCUUAUGGAGCGAUUCCAGUUCAAAAAAGCUUCUUUAUUUCUCUCACACACUCAAGCUUUUCUUCAUGUCAAGCUUCUAACAAGAUGAGAAUGCAAAAAACUCUUUGCUGUAUCUUUUAUCCUCCUCUCAAACUGCUUAGCACAGGAAAGUGCAGAUGGUGUGUUGUGAUGACAGAGGCCCUGAUGGGCUAAAGGCUGUGACCUGCUAUUAACUUUUUCCUUACCUCACAACUCUCCUCCUUCAUCCCGGCCAACUUUGAUUUGCCUCAUUCUUCCUCUUUUGGGAAUGAAUUAGAUGCCAGAGUGAGAAAUUAACACUUUAUUGUCAAAAGUACACUUACAAGUUAAGGGAAGGCAUGUCCAUCAGUCCUGUGUCUCGCAGGUAUUUCUAGGUGUGCACCUGAUGAGGUAGAUGCCCUGUCUCCGACCUCAGCUUAUAUUUCUUCCCCACCCAAACUGCGCACAC